UACAGAGGGCCCGAGCGUUGUUCGGAUUUAUUGGGCGUAAAGGGUGCGUAGGUGGCAACGUAAGUUGGAUGUGAAAUCCUGGGGCUUAACCUCAGAAUUGCAUUCAAUACUGCUUAGCUAGAGAGCUGUAGAGGAGACUGGAAUUUACGGUGUAGCAGUGAAAUGCGUAGAUAUCGUAAGGAACGCCAGUGGCGAAAGCGAGUCUCUGGGCAGCAUCUGACGCUGAGGCACGAAGGCCAGGGGAGCAAACGGG
rnacentral:rRNA from 1 species